AUGCCUGUCAAGCUUCUCCGGACGCCUACCGCUGGGCGACGCCACCACUUGCCGGUGCUGCAUCUCGUUCCCGGCCUCCUGCUUCUGCUGCUCUCGCGCUCGGCGUCGGCGUCGGCGUCGACGGUGGUCACCCGCCUGCCAGGAUUCGACGGCCCUCUCCCCUUCUACCUCGAAACCGGAUACGUGGGCGUGGAGGAGGAGACCGGGACGGAGCUCUUCUACUACUUCGUCGAGUCGGAGAGGAGCCCCGGCACGGACCCCGUCAUCCUGUGGCUCACCGGCGGGCCCGGUUGCUCGGGCUUCAGCGGCAUGGUCUUCGAAGUCGGUCCUAUAAAUUUUGUGUUAGCACCUUAUAAUGGUAGUUUGCCGCAGCUGGUCUCUAAUCCCUACUCAUGGUCGAAGAUCGCAAGCAUCAUCUUCUUGGAUUCUCCUGUCGGUUCUGGCUUCUCGUAUGCUCGUGAUCCCAAAGGUUAUGAUGUCGGGGACAUCUCGUCUUCUUCGCAAGUUGUCACAUUUCUGAAGAAGUGGUUCAGUGAUCACCCACGCUAUAUUUCAAAUCCUUUUUACCUUGGAGGAAGUUCAUAUGCUGGAAAGAUGAUUCCAGUCAUCGCACAAUACAUCUCACAAGGAAACGAACAAAGAAGGCAACCUGAGAUUAAUCUCAAGGGCUAUCUAGUUGGCAACCCUAUUACAGGCUCCGCAUUUGAUGAUUUCAACACCAAAAUACCAUAUGCUCAUGGUGUUGGAAUUAUAUCAGAUCAACUAUAUGAGGCUGCAAUGGCGAGCUGUGAUGGAGACUAUGUAACCUCAGUGACUAAAAUGUGCGCGGGGGUUCUAAAUACCAUUCAAAAACUCAUUUCUGAAGUUGACGAGGGAUAUAUCUUAGAUGAUAGAUGUGUACGUGCUGCUCCCAAACCUGUGAAGGAUGAUGCUUCAAGAAGUAGGUUUCUAUCAGAAGAACAGAUUCAGCCAACCGAAUCAUCUGCUGAUCCCACUAUCAAUUGUUUCUCAUAUCGGUACUACCUAUCUAACAUUUGGGCGAAUUACAACAGGACUAGAGAUGCUCUUAAGAUCAAGAAGGGAACCAUUGGCAAGUGGGUAAGAUGCAGCAGUGAAUUCCCCUAUACACACGACGUCCCAAGUAGCAUAGGGUACCAGUUCAACCUCACCACCAGGGGCUACCGUGCGCUUGUAUUCAGCGGAGACCAUGAUCUUUUGGUACCAUUUUUGGGAACACAUGCGUGGAUAAGAUCCUUCAACUUCUCCAUUGUUGAUAACUGGAGAGCAUGGCAUGUGGAUGGCCAGUCUGCAGGAUUUACAAUUGCAUAUGCAAACCAUAUGAUAUUUGCAACAGUAAAGGGUGGAGGUCAUACAGCUGUAAGCUACCGGCCUAAACAAGGAUUGGCCAUGGCUCAGCGGUGGCUUGACAAUAAGCCAUUGUGA
rnacentral:rRNA from 1 species